rnacentral:misc_RNA from 1 species
AACGCACAUUGCGCCCUCUGGUAUUCCGGAGGGCAUGCCUGUUCGAGCGUCAUUUCAACCCUCAAGCACUGCUUGGUGUUGGGGCGCGGCCCGUCACAGGGCCGGCCCUGAAAUCCAGUGGCGAGCUCGCCAGGACCCCGAGCGCAGUAAUACAUCUCGUUCUGGAAGGCCCUGGCGGUGCCCUGCCGUUAAACCCCCAACUUCUGAAAUUUUGACCUCGGAUCAGGUAGGAAUACCCGCUGAACUUAA